CUUUAGCGGCUCUGUGCACUUUUUGUGAUGGGAAAAAAAUGUUAAACUCGCGACAGGUGUCACGUGACCGACAGAUUCGACAGAUUGAAAAUUCGUAAGACGGAUACGUGACCUGAUCCAAAAACUAUACAAAUAAUAAUAAAAUUCUUUAUUGUGCACUACUAAAGAAAAGUACAUAAUAGAAAAAAAAACAGGACUUAAAUGAGUAGGUAACAACAGGCGGACUUAUCGCUAUAAAGCGAUCUCUUCCAGACAACCUUCAGAUAGCGAAACAGUGGCAAGAAGUAAGCUAUUGGGCAGUGCAAAACAACAACAGAAAAAUAAAAUAUAUGUACCUAUAUAUCCAUAUGAUACGCUUACUUUAAAUUAUAGACUAAAAACAAUGAAACAUACACUACUUAAACUACAUAAAUUAUUUAACUGCCAAUAAUACACUACAUAAACUACAUAGAUAAAUGCUAAGCAUUCAAGCGAGAGAAGUAACGACCAGGUAGCGAAAAUAUAAAGGGGAAUUAACUUAUAUGAAUUAAAUGACCAAGACUAAGAAAGAGAUAAAUAGUGCUCUUUUAGACGUUUUUUAAAAAUGGGUAAGGAUUGAGCACGCCUUAUGUCAAUGGGCAAAGCAUUCCACAUCCGCACAGACUGGAAAGUAAACGAUUUGAUGUAAAACUUACUAGAUGACCGAGGGGGAGCAAGAAGAAGAUUUUGAGAACACCUAACAGACGAAAGAAAACUAAACCGCUUUUUAAGGUAACCAGGAGUGUUGGGAAUAAAUAAAAUGCUGUAGAGAAGAGAAAGGAUAUGAGCAUUACGUCGGAAGCGAAUCGGUAACCACCUGAGCUGAGACCGGAAGCUGGAGACAUGGUCAAAUUUCCGUAGCCCAAAAAUGAAACGAAUGCACACAUUUUGAAGUCGUUCAAGUUUGUUUAAUUGCUCUUCGGUGAGAUCGAGAUAAGAGAUGUCGGCAUAGUCUAGAAUAGGAAGAAGAAGAGAUUGAGCCAGCGCAAUUUUAGUGGCAAGUGGUAAAAAAUUGCGGAGACGCCUAAGAGAUCCUACGGCAGCAAAGAUCUUACGACUAACUUCAUUAAGCUGCGGACCCCAAGAAAGAGUACGAUCCAUGACCACUCCCAGAUUCUUAACUUGGGACGAGUACGGGAUCUGGACCCCAUCGAAUAAGAUAGGAGGCAGACUCACAAAAUUCACCUUUGCUAUAUUCAUAGGGCUACCAAUAAUAAUGACUUGGGUCUUCGCAGGAUUAACUCUAAUUCCAUAGGAGGAGCUCCAGU